rnacentral:rRNA from 1 species
AUUGAACGCUGGCGGCAGGCCUAACACAUGCAAGUCGAACGGGUGGCGGACGGGUGAGUAAUGUCUGGGAAACUGCCUGAUGGAGGGGGAUAACUGCGGGAAACGGUAGCUAAUACCGCAUAACAUCAGAUGUGCCCAGAUGGGAUUAGCGUGUUGGGGGGGUAACGGCUCACCAAGGAGACGAUCCCUAGCUGGUCUGAGAGGAUGACCAGCAACACUGGAACUGAGACACGGCCCAGACUCCUACGGGAGGCAGCAGUGGGGAAUAUUGCACAAUGGGCGCAAGCCUGAUGCAGCCAUGCCGCGUGGAUGAAGAAGGCCUUCGGAUUGUAAAGUACUUUCAGCGGGGAGGCGUUACCCACAGAGGAAGCACCGGCUAACUCCGUGCCAGCAGCCGCGGUAAUUC